rnacentral:rRNA from 1 species
GGCGUGCACCGCCUAACACAUGCAAGUUCGAGCGGAAAACAACAAGGGAAGCUUGCUCCUGAGGUGUCGAGCGGCGGAACGGGUGAGUAAUGCUUGGGAAAACUGCCCAGUCGUGGGGGACAACCAUUGGAAACGAUGGCUAAUACCGCAUAACGCCCUACGGGGGAAAGAAGGGGACUCUUUCGGAGCCUUUCGCGAUUGGAUGUGCCCAAGUGGGAUUAGCUAGUUGGUGAGGUAAGAGCUCACCAAGGCGACGAUCCCUAGCUGGUUUGAGAGGAUGAUCAGCCACACUGGAACUGAGACACGGUCCAGACUCCUACGGGAGGCAGCAGUGGGGAAUAUUGCACAAUGGAAGAAACUCUG